rnacentral:rRNA from 1 species
UACAGAGGUCUCGAGCGUUAGGCGGAAUCACUGGGCUUAAAGCGUGUGUAGACGGGUCGUUUAAGUGCCUUGUGAAAUCCCAUGGCUCAACCAUGGAACUGCUGGGCAUACUGGCGAUCUUGUGCCACCUAGGGGCGAGCGGAACAGAUGGUGGAGCGGUGAAAUGCGUAGAUAUCAUCUGGAACGCCAUGGUGAAAACAGCUCGCUGGGGGUGUGCAGACGCUGAGACACGAAAGCCAGGGGAGCGAACGGG